CACAAAAUCUCCCAUGUCUUUGUGGCUGUAAGGUCGCAGCAGGAAACCCACAGGGUAAGUCAUGCCCAGUCCCUGUGAUGUGAGGUCGAGAGCCAGAGCUUUGUCUUGCGCAAGAAGCAGUUCUCCUUUUGUUUAGCAGGGGAUGUUGUCACUUCGGGGCAAGGGGUUUAAAGCCCCGGCUGCUCCAUCCCGGGCUGUGUCCUGCUGUGAAGAUUUUUCUGCCUGGUCAGCUGUGCUGCCUGGUGUGGGAGGUGUCAGCUGAGGCACGGCCAUGCCCCCGAGGGUCAUUUUUCUGCUCGGACUUGGUGAGGAUGGCAAGGGAGGUUGUGUGGGAGGCUGGCAAGGGAAGAGGCUGUGGAGAAAGAGGUUCAUAACCCGGGUUCCUCUCAUGCUCCUCUUCCUCUGUGAGGUCCUGGGGCCAGCGGGUUACAGGUUCUUUCGUUUGAUCUAGACCUGGUGCCCUGAACUCACCAGUUUGGGAAUCCUUGUAUUUUGCGGAGCUCUUUCUUACCGAGCCUUUCUCUAUUUUAGUGUUUUGCUGGGACCAAAGGAUUUGGGCACAGACUGACCUCUACCCUUCUCUGGAAAGCUUCCUGGUCUCCAGCCCUUUCCCGUCAUCACGGAUGAGUCAAGAGGAAGAUGCUCAGGUUUUACAAAAAUGCAGCAAGGUGACUCAGCUGAGCACUUCUGCAGAAGGUCUGUUCACAGGAAGACACUCUCGCCCAGGAGAUGAACUUGAAGUAGAAUGAAGACCUUGGCAUUCCCGUCAUGGCGCAGUGGUUAAUGAAUCUGAAUAGGAACCAUGAGGCUGCAGAUCUACCUGAAAUCUACCUAAAUCCUCCUGAAAAUGGAUAUCUUCCCAUUGUGAUUGGGACCUCAGCCAUCAGUGUUCUCCCUCUCUUCCUCCUCUUCCUCCUCCUCUGCCAUUGCUGGUGUCGAGCCAAACACAGUAGGUCCUGGAUGGGGGGAAGAGGGGCCACGGAUGAUGAGACCAAGAGCCAAGUGCAGUAUGACAGCUCCGGCCCAGGCUUGAACUUUGCAGAAGACAAUCAAUCUAAGAGGAGUGAGAAGGAGGGGCAACCGGGGUGGUGUCUCAGUGGAUAUCGCCUCUGAGGGGGACAGACAGAUGGACAUGGAGGCCCUCCCAGAGGAAGACCCACAGGACGUGAUCUCUGUUCAGCAACACUGAGAUUCCCUGAUGGGGAGUGUGGAUUCAGAGUUCUCCUGCACCCUUGAGGAAUCCUUGUGAUAGCCCUGUGUGUAUAUCACCCUCCCCUGGUCUUGAGUGCAGAGCCAGAACUGGCCAUGUGGACUCCAGCGCUUAAGGGCCCCUUAAGGAAGAUGCGGCGUCCCACUCGUGUCCCCCACAGCAGCAGCAUCUUGGAGCUCCCCAAAGACUCAAGAAUAGAGAAGCCUUGUCACCUGUCAAGAAAUUCUGGGAUGCAUCGCAUCCCUCAACCGAUUCCUGGUUCCUUCUGUUUUUAUCCCCUCAUUUGCUUAUUUAACAGAUAUUCGCAGAAGUUGACUCUUCCUUUGCACCUGUGCUGAGGAGGGACAGAUCAGUAGGACACAGCUCCUGGUCUUAAGGAGUGCCUGGCCUCCUGAGAGAGGCAAACCUUAUGAUCGCUUGGGCCCUUAGAAAGCAAAGAGGGGGUGAGCUACUGGAGCAGGGGAAGGAUGAUGUGGGCGACACAGGAAUACUCAUCCGGGUGCAUUUAAGGAGGACCCACAGGUACCCAACGCAAGGAGAAGUCAAGAAGACAUAGGAGUCAAACUGGGCGGGAGGGAGUUCCUGGUGGCAUUUUGCUCCAAUGCUCUAGGUUUUGUGUGAGCUGAAGCCUUCAGAGCAGCAAAAGGCGAACAAGAAAGAUUCUUUGUAAAGGAACCAAAUUGCAACUAUUUGACCGGAAGAAGGAUUUCUCUUGGGGAGGGGAAUGGUGCAGAGGGUGUUUGGGGGGGGGUAUGGUUUCCCUCUAGUUUUGGUGAAUUUCACUUUUUAGUUAUGCAAUGAAAAGAAAUAGAAUACAAUAUAACGAGAUGGGAGUGGCAGGAGAGGAAUUGGAGUUGGUAUUAAAGUAGAUGCGAAUGAUUACAUUUGAGAUGGAUGAGCAGUGAGGUCCUACAGUACAGCACAGGGGACUCUGUCCAGUCUCUUGGGAGAGACUAUGAUGGAAGAUAAUAGGAGAAAAAGAAUUUAUGUGACUGGGGCACUCUGCUGCACAGCAGAAAUUGGCACAACACUGUAAUAAAAAACCAAAAAAAAUACAAAAAAAUUCAGUUCAGUUUUGGCACCAGGACGUAGAGAAGAAAGUUAAUGGCAGGGCCAGUGAAAUACAGCACAGUGGUUUGGAGUGGAGAGUAGGAGUAAGAGAGGGAAAUCGAGCAUGCGUGUUGAUUGAUGGAAAGAAAUAUGGGGAGCGCAUAAUGUGGAUGAUAUUGGGGAGUGACCAUCAGUGGGACAGGGUAGCAUUGAGAGCCCCGACUCGGGAAUAGAUGGGUUAACCUGGGUUCAGAUUUCUCCUUCUGUACCCACUUGCUGCACGGUCACGCACACACUUCAAAAUGAUUCUCUGAGCCAGAAGGACACUUGUCAUUGAUGGAGGAGGAAAUCCAAGCUCAUGCGAGCACGGGCUAAGAUGCAAUCUUUUCGGAAUUAGAGAAAUAAAGAUUCCAACAACGACAUGCCGUUGCUUCCCUUCCAUCUGCUAUGAUGGAAUUGUGGCCACCUCCAAACUCCUAUGUCAAAUGUCGCAACCCCCAGGACCUCAGAAUGGGGCCUUCUUUGGAAAUGAGGUCAUCGCAAGUGUGCUUACCCAGGAUGAAGACAUACUGGAGCAGGACGGCUUCUCACCCAGCAUGACUUGUGUCCUUAUUUAAAAACAAGGAAACGAUGGAGUUCCUGUUGUGGUGCAGCGGAAAUGAAUCUGACCGGAACCAUGAGGUUGCAGGUUCCAUCACUGUGUCCUCGCUCCGUGGGUUAAGGAUCUGGUGUUGCCGUGAGCCGUGGUGCAGGUCGGAGAUGUGGCUUGGAUCCCGCGUUGCCGUGGCUAUGGCGUAGGCUGGCGGGGGCAGCUCUGAUUCUACCCCUAGCCUAGGAACCUCCAUAUGCCGCGGGGGAGGCCCUAAAAAGAAAAAAAAAAAUGUAAAAAAAGGAAAUUGUGACACAGACAUGCACAGAGGGACAGCACGGUGUGAACCUGAAGGUGGAGAUUGGAGUGGUGUAUCCAUGAGCCAAGGAGCCCCAAAGCCUGCCAGCCAGCCACCAGGACCCGGGAGAGAGAUGUGUGCCUGGUUUCCCCCCACAGUUCUCAGAAGGAACCUCCUGCCAGCACCCCGAUCUCAGACUUCCACCUUCCAGAACCAUGACACAGGACCCUUCCAUGUCCAGGCUACUCCAUUUGCCAUACUUUGUUAUGGCAGCCCUAGCCGGCUAGUCCAUCCUCGGGCUGGCAGAGGUUAGAAGGCUGGGGAGUCCCAUGUCUUGUGGGUGUUGGGGUGGUAUGGGGACCCUCUGGCACUGUUGUGGGGGGAAGAAACUGGUGCAGUGAAUCCUGGGUGCAAUUUGGUACUACGUAAAUUAAAGAUAUACCUAAGC
ensembl:lncRNA